rnacentral:rRNA from 1 species
GGUCAAGCGAACAAGUGCAUGUGGUGGAUGCCUUGGCGAUCACAGGCGAUGAAGGACGCGGUAGCCUGCGAAAAGCCCCGGGGAGCUGGCAAACAAGCUUUGAUCCGGGGAUGUCCGAAUGGGGAAACCCACUCCGUAUGGAGUAUCCAUGACUGAAUACAUAGGUCAUGUGAAGCGAACGCGGUGAACUGAAACAUCUAAGUAACCGCAGGAAAAGAAAUCAACCGAGAUUCCCAAAGUAGUGGCGAGCGAAAUGGGAUGAG